ensembl:lncRNA
GGUUAUUGACUCAGAGUCCUCCUGGCAUUUAAGUUAGAGAUCAAUACUAUUCAGACUUCUGGACCCCCGUUUGGGCCUCCUGCUUGGGGUGUCUCCGCUCUGGGCUCUGCCCUUCACGGGUAUCCUAUAGCCGGUCCCAUCACCACGGCCGCCCUCACCCCAGCCCAGGCCAGCUUGUAUCCGUGUCCUUCCUGGGCAGACUGGAGCGCGGCUCUGCUGUCCCGGCCUCCUGCGCCACUUCCUCUUCUGUCCGGCCAGCCCCAGCCCAUGCCUGGUAUACAGCAAGGGCUUAAUGCAUGCUCAGGGACGCCGUUCAUCUGCCUCUGGAACAGUCAUCACCCCCUCCUCGGGCACAGUGGACUUCACAGGAGCCGGCAGGGAGGCAGGGAAGCCCGAGCUGGCCCAGGCCCUGCUCGCCCUGAUCUCGGCUGAGGAUCCAGGGUCCUCCUCCCUUUAACAGACAGAAAGGGCGGCCAGACGCCGCCUCCUGCUUCCUCCCUCCCAGGGGCUUUGAGGUGGGAAGCUGCCAGGCUAGAAGGUGGCUGCAACCUGUCUGAUGGGAUCACCUGCCAGGCGGGGGGAGCCCUGCUUUCCCUUUUUCUAGGGAGGGUCCCAUGGGGUCAGAGGAAGAAGUAGACCGAAAGGUAAUGGGGGGCUUUCCCCAGAAAUGAUCGCAAUGGAAAACCAAAGGGCAUCCGUAAGAACCUAUUUUUAAAAGGCCUUUGGGAGCUAUAGAAUGUUAUAGAAAAGUGAGCGGGGGUGAGCUGGGUGCUCAGUGGAUAGAGAGCCAGUCCUGGAGACAGGAGCUCCUGGGUUCAAAUCCAACUCCAGACACUUCCUAGCUGUGUGACCUUGGGCAAGUCCCUUAACCCCAUUGCCUAGCCCUUACCACUUUUCUGCUUUGGAACCAAUACUGGUUCUAAGACAGAAAAGGAAGGAAGGAAGGAAGGAAGGAAGGAAGGAAGGAAGGAAGGAAGGAAGGAAGGAAGGAAGGAAGGAAGGAAGGAAGGAAGGAAGGAAGGAAGGAAGGAAGGAAGGAAGGAAAAGAAAGAAAGAGAAAGAAAGGAAGAAAGAAAAAAGAGAAAGAGGAACAAAGAAACAAAAGAGAGGAAAAAAGGAAAAGGAAGGAAGGAAGGAAAGAGAACGGCUAUUAUUAUUUUAAAUUAAAAUGUUUAUUUUGAAUGA